rnacentral:sRNA from 1 species
UUGGUUAGUUUUUUGGAGUCAAAUAUGACUAGAUGGCAUGUGUAUGAUUGAGUAUAAGAUC